UUUUUGGGAAUAAUUUAAAGUCUAAUCUGCCCACUGAUAAAUUAUUAAAGGGCUGCAGUAUUUUGACUGUACAAAGGUAGCAUAAUCAAUAGUCUCUUAAUUGGUGACUUGUAUGAAAGAUUGGAUGAGAUAUAUACUGUCUCUAAUUAAUUUAUAGAAGUUAAUUUUUUAGUAAAAAAGCUAAAAUAAUUUUAAAAGACGAGAAGACCCUAUAGAGUUUAAUAAUUUAUUUAAUUAUUAAUAAUAUAUAAUUUUUAAAAUUAAAAUUAAAUAAAUUAUUUUGUUGGGGUGAUAGAAAAAUUAAAUUAACUUUUUUUAAUUAUUAACAUUAAUUUAUGAUUAGAUGAUCCAUUUAUAAUGAUUAAAAGAAAAAAUUACCUUAGGGAUAACAGCGUAAUUUUUUUUUUUAGUUCAAAUAGGAAAAAAAGUUUGCGACCUCGAUGUUGGAUUAAGAUAAAAUUUAAAUGCAAAAGUUUAAAAUUUUGAUCUGUUCGAUCAUUAAAAUCUUACGUG
rnacentral:rRNA from 1 species